rnacentral:rRNA from 1 species
AACGAACGCUGGCGGCGCGCCUAAUACAUGCAAGUCGAGCGAGAAGACGUAGCAAUACGUUUGUAAAGCGGCGAACGGGUGAGGAAUACAUGGGUAACCUACCCUCGAGUGGGGAAUAACUAGCCGAAGGUUAGCUAAUACCGCGUACGCUCCUUGGACUUCGGUUCAGGGAGGAAAGCGAUACCGUGGGUAUCGCGCUCUUGGAUGGGCUCAUGUCCUAUCAGCUUGUUGGUGAGGUAACGGCUCACCAAGGCUUCGACGGGUAGCUGGUCUGAGAGGACGAUCAGCCACACUGGCACUGCGACACGGGCCAGACUCCUACGGGAGGCAGCAGUAAGGAAUAUUGCGCAAUGGGCGAAAGCCUGACGCAGCGACGCCGCGUGGGGGAGUGAAGGUCUUCGGA